GAGAAAUGCACUACGCAUGUCAAUUUAUUAAAAUGAUAAAUGAUAAAAAGCCCGAUACAUAAAAUUCCAAUGCUUUUGGGCAUAAGCAUGGAUGUUUAGUUUGCAUUACUUUGAAAUUGAAUCACAAGUGACUGGUAAACUCAUGGUGGUCCAGUUGCUCAGCUUUAGAUUCGGUGGCCCAAGGUAUGUAGUAGGAAUCUCAUCCACAUUUCCUGGCUGUUCUUCACCUUCCUCCGUUGCACAUAUUGAUAAAUCAGAAAAAGUCCCUCCUAAAGCUGACACUGAUUCUUGGUUCUCAACGGUGAGUGAUUCAGGAAAGAUGCAACCUCCAGAUCGGAAUGUCUCGUAGAGAUGAGGAUAUGUCAU
rnacentral:lncRNA from 1 species